GAUGAACGCUAGCGGGAGGCUUAACACAUGCAAGUCGUGGGGCAGCAUUUGGUAGCAAUACUGAGAUGGCGACCGGUGCACGGGUGAGUAACGCGUAUGCAACCUACCCAGUACAGGGGGAUAGCCCGGAGAAAUUCGGAUUAAUACCCCAUAAUGAUAUAAAGAGGCAUCUUUUUAUAUUUAAAGCUUCGGCGGUACUGGAUGGGCAUGCGUAAGAUUAGCUAGUUGGUAGGGUAACGGCCUACCAAGGCUCCGAUCUUUAGGGGUCCUGAGAGGGUGAUCCCCCACACUGGUACUGAGACACGGACCAGACUCCUACGGGAGGCAGCAGUGAGGAAUAUUGGUCAAUGGGCGCAAGCCUGAACCAGCCAUCCCGCGUGAAGGAAGAAAGCGCUAUGCGUUGUAAACUUCUUUUCCGGAGGAAUAAAAUCUUGUACGUGUACAGGACUGAAGGUACUCCGGGAAUAAGCAUCGGCUAACUCCGUGCCAGCAGCCGCGGUAACAC
rnacentral:rRNA from 1 species